rnacentral:rRNA from 1 species
AGUAACGCGUGGGUAACCUGCCUUGUACAGGGGGAUAACAGUUGGAAACGGCUGCUAAUACCGCAUAAGCGCACAGCAUCGCAUGAUGCAGUGUGAAAAACUCCGGUGGUAUAAGAUGGACCCGCGUCUGAUUAGCUGGUUGGCGGGGUAACGGCCCACCAAGGCGACGAUCAGUAGCCGGCCUGAGAGGGUGAUCGGCCACAUUGGGACUGAGACACGGCCCAA